UACGAAGGUCCCGAGCGUUAUCCGGAUUUAUUGGGUUUAAAGGGUGCGUAGGCGGGUUAUUAAGUCAGUGGUGAAAGCCUUCAGCUCAACUGAAGAAUUGCCAUUGAUACUGAUGAUCUUGAGUGUGAUUGAGGUGGGCGGAAUGUGUCAUGUAGCGGUGAAAUGCUUAGAUAUGACACAGAACACCGAUUGCGAAGGCAGCUCACUAAGUCACAACUGACGCUGAUGCACGAAAGCGUGGGGAGCAAACAGG
rnacentral:rRNA from 1 species